UACAAGAAUUGAUCCUGGCAUGACUAUAGAUCCUUACAUAAUGCUGUCUGCAGAGCAGAUUUGUAACCAAUUUGGUUUGCGUAGACAUUGUCGCAGAAACACAGAAAAGGACAAUAAAAAGAAUGGCUUGCCCAGGAAGUCCCCUGUAGGGACCCGGCAGAGAUGAAUUUUCCAAGGCAACCUUGCAGAGCUUACAGACGCCUUUCCAAGGACACACUGUGUUCCGUAGCCACUUAAACUGGAUACAGCAUAUGUCAGAGAUUCUAAUAGGAGGGCUUCCUACCUUCAAUCCUAGAAUGUCCUAU